rnacentral:rRNA from 1 species
CGGCGGACGGGUGAGUAACGCGUGGGUAACCUGCCUCAUACAGGGGGAUAACAGUUAGAAAUGAUUGCUAAUACCGCAUAAGACCACAGCACCGCAUGGUGCGGGGGUAAAAACUCCGGUGGUAUGAGAUGGACCCGCGUCUGAUUAGCUAGUUGGUAAGGUAACGGCUUACCAAGGCGACGAUCAGUAGCCGACCUGAGGGGUGACCGGCCACAUUGGGACUGAGACACGGCCCAA